GACAAGUCCCCACAGGCCCAGCGAUAGGGCACAUGAGUGAGUGAUAAUAACACCUUCUGGAAGCCAGAGAGCAGCUGAUCAGGAAUAGAAAAUCUGGCAUGAGUAGCAGGGUCUCAGAAAGCUUUCUUCCUUAUACACUGCACACACACACACACACACACACACACACACGCACGUCCCCCUCUCUCUCUUAUACUAAAAAUUUAUAACUAUCAAGCAUCACCUAUAGAGUCAGAAGGCCUGAUUUGAUUCCUGCUUCCACCAUCGACUGGCUGUGUGACCUUGGGCAAAUUUCUCCAACCCUCUGUAGGAUGGGUGUACUGACUGGGUAGCACUCCCUAGCGUAGGGCUGCAGUGAGGAGCAAAUGAGAUCGGGUGUAGGAGGUGCAGGCCACAGGGCCCAGCACAUAACAAAUGCGCAGUGAAUAGGAUGAAUGAAAAUGAAACCAGUGCUGGAGCCCGGACUGGGCUUGCAUAUGAGAUUCAAGACGGUUUGCACAACAGAGAUGUCCUUGAACCUGGAACAGCCAAGCCGUGGCUAAUGCUGCAUCUCAGAGUGACUUUGGAGGCCAUGUCUGAAACUGGCAGCAUCACAAUAUGGAAGAAUCCUUGGUUACUGAGUCAUAGAGGCAGACAGGAAUGCUGUCCAACUAUGAAUACCUGCAUUGGAUUUAGUUUGCCUGUGCCCACUGGACCCUGACUCUCCAGAGACCAAGAUGGCAGAGCAGUUCCAGGAUUCAUGUCAAGACAGAAAAGAGCAAUUCCUAGAGAAAUACAGGAGGGCUUCUUGUCUCAGGUUUCCUAAGGAACUUCCCAGUGGACUUCUCAAAUCUUACUGCCUAGAUUUGUGUCCUGUGCACAUUCUUAACAGAGAUGGAAUGACCAUUAUCGGCUUAGACUAAUCAGGACCCACCUUCUGGAUCCAGGAACAAUUUCAAGUGACGUUCACAGUUGAGAGGAGCUCCUGACUCAACUCAUUUAUCUAUUUGCCUAGAUGGCAUCUGCCCCAGUAAUAUCAUACAUGCUGUGUAACCAGAAAGGAAAAGCAACUUCUCUUUGGGAAUUUCAGUUUCAAAAUAUCUCAGGGAAGAUUCUUACUGGCUCUGUUGGGUCACCUGACCACCGCUUAGAACUAUCACUGUGAACAGCAAAAUGGAAUGUACUGAUUGGUCCUUUCCACUCUGUGACCAAGAAGACUAAAACUCACCAAAUGAAUUGGAUGUAACCACUGGAAGAAUUUCUGCUGGGCAGAUGUCACAAAGUACCGAUGCUGAUAUAAAACACAGAAGUUGAGCUCUAUCUCAACCCACUCCAAACGUUCAUCAGGUACUCUCCAUGAAAAGUUGACUGGUGGAGAAGAAGUAAAUACUGAGUCUGGUUUCUAGCUGACUGUACACACUAUGGACUGAUGGCAGCUGGAACAGGACUGCUGCAGCUGCAGGGGGAGCCCUGGAGGAAUAUGGGGGAGAGGGAAGCUCAUUGGGAAGAAUUGCAAGUGACACAUCUAAUUUACCACCUUCUCUCAAAGGAAACAUGUGGCUUGAGGACUGAGAGCUGGUAAGAUUCAGUAUACCGGUGUGUAUGUGUGGGGAAGUUGGGGUUCCUAUGGCCAGGAUCCUCACUGAACUUAAACCACCUGAUGAUGUAACUGGCCUGUUGCUAGGCUACCGCUUCCACACCUUUAGGCAAUAAGCUAUUAUUGUACUAUAUAGAGAGCUCGGCCCAGUGCUCUGGGCGGAGGCAGAGAUGCUAGUGCUCGACCUGUCGCUGAGGGAACAAGCCGGGUAAUAAACCCUUUCAUCCGAAAGAACGUUUUGCUGUCAAUUUCUUUGGUCACAUUGAAUCCAUAGCAAACUUGCCAGGAGCUGAGACCCAUUGGCAAGACAGUAUGCCUGCUCCUAAAUGAGAGAUGACCUCAGACUGGAGUCAAUCACUUUUCAGAAGAGAUCAAAGAAAUUCUGUAUGACUCAGGUGGGUAUUCUCUGUCUGAAGCCUGUGACUUACGUCUUUUAAAGUCCGGUAGUGUGGAGUUUUGUUGAGUUGCCAGUCAACCACAUCUACACCCCAGUCUAAUGCAGUUUAAACACUAGCAUCCUUACUGGAAGAUGGCCUACCAAGUGGUAGGAUACCAGCAAAGUGGGAUUUAGGUUGUCAUCUUCUCAUUUGAGAAUUUUGUUUCAAAAAAGAGUCAAGGUACCUUCUUUGGAGGACUUGGAAAUGACAGAGUAGAGGCUAGUAGUUGAAAGAAAGUCUUCUGACUUAAAAACCACGUCUUUAGAUAUAUUUGACUGUGGUUACCUGCACAGAAACUCACCAACAGCAAGUACAUGGGAAGUCUACUAAUUUUCGAGAGAACUGUAGGGCUAAAGAAACCACAUGGCUAUGUGACGUAGCUUGUGCUUGCAAAAAUCCUGAAUAAAUUUCCAGGCCCUUAAACCCAUACCACCCGGAAGGGGACUGGUGAAGCUAGAUAACCCCAAGUGCUAUGGGCUGAAUGUCUGUCCUUUCAAAAUCUGUAUGUUCAAGCCCUAAUAUCCAGCAUGAUGGUGUUUGAAGGUGGGCCUUUGGGAAGUGAUUAGGUUUAGCUGAGUUCAUGGAGGCAGAGCUCACCUUAUGGGAUUAGUGUUAUUACACAAAGAAGAGAGCAAAGUACUCCCUUUCCCGCCACCCCCUGUCUCCUCCACCAUGUGAGAACAUAGCUAGAAGUGGCCAUCUGUAAGCCAGAAACUGACCUGUGCUGGUACCAUGAUCUUGGACUUCUCAGUCUCCAAAGUGCAGAAGAAAAUGUCUGUUGAUUAAAUCACCCAGUCCAGUAGUCCAGGUAAUUUUGUUAUGGCAUCCCAAGCUAAGAUACCAAGGAGAGAAAUACUCUGCAGGGUCUACCUGAGCUGUGGUUGUGGAAGACAAUGGACCAAGAGCUUCCCAGAGUAAGCAGUGUUAGGGCCACAGGGGACAGUGGGAAAACACUCCCGUGGGUUAGAAGCACAGGCUGCCAGCUGGGUCAGUAAUAAACCCCCCUGGGCCACGGUCUUGUCAUGGGUGUUCUGUUUCCGCCCUACAGAAUCUGAUCAUGACUGGGAAACUGUAACAGCUGUGUAUUUCCACUUCCUCCCCAAAAUGGGAGUUUUUAUUGCAGUUUCUCUAUUCCCUUCACUACCAUUUUAUAUUUGGCUUUAUGGGAGUAGUAAUUUGUCUUUUAGUCUUAUAGCAGCCACAUCUGAAACUGGCAGAGAGGAAAGCACACAGAGAGAUUCCAGGCUUUGAGCUGGAUGCGUAAAUGGAUGAAACUUGUUCCGUAGAUGAGAAUGAGUACAUAUAUAUGUUCGGGUAGCUUCGAGGAUGGAGUCCACUCAUGGCUUUCCCAUAGCCAUUCCCCACUUCUUCCUUAGUAACAGAACCCUGGGCGGUGACCAGGCUGAGUGGUACAGGAUAGGAAUAAACCCUGUAGAAAUCAUUGUGUUUGUAAUAGUUAUUCAUAUACUAUUUAGAUCAUACUCAUUCAUUUUUCUUUUUAGUGGAGUGAUGGCUAUGAAACUGUUUAAGGGAAAAUGAGUGGCGGUAGUAGAAAGGGUUUUUAAUCAGCUUCCGCCAAAUUUAAUAAGAAACCCAGUGAGGUCACCCAGUGAGGUCCAGCAGCAUUUGGCCAAUUGUUUGCCACAUCUGUAAAUGCUCUAAUACUCACUUCUGUCCACAUAAAUAUUAUACAAUAAAUAUUCUUCAAUUGUGAGAUGUCUGGCCUAAGUGCCUCUCCCAGACAGAAUCUGGAUAUAAAUUGGGGUUACUUCAGUUAACAGGAUUUCAGAAUGAGCCUGUUUGAGUGUUGAGAUUAGAACUCAAUAGAGAUUUGUUUUUGGUUCUGUCUCAGGCCCUCAACUCAUACAUACUGAUUUAUUUAGGGAAGUCUGUGAAUAUUCUUAUCCCCAAAAUAUUCAUGGAAGAGUGGCAGAAUUCAGUAGAAAAUAUAUGUCUUUGUCACCUCUUAAAUUAAUAUCAAAAACAAAGGGAAAUUGAGGCAUGGUAGAUCAUCUUAAAGAUGGUGUUCUCUCCCCUUAUUUCAAGUACCCACUAAUAAUCUCAGUUAAACAGGCUAACAUAAAAAUGGAGUGUGGAAGCAUCCACAUAGAUGGUCUGCUUUGAAUUUUCUUAAACAUUAGGUUUGAUACAUACUGAAUGAAAAGCCAACUUCAUCAUAAAAGUAGAAUUUCUCUUCUCUUUGUUACAUAGCUACCCUUUUAAGAAGGAUGUUUUUCCAAGAAAUUCCUGCACUAAGUAUAGGCCUCAAUCUUACACAGACACUUUCUCACAUAUGAUCCUGAAUAGGGUGCUGAAUGAUAAGAUGAUAAGAUGAACAAAAGCAACACCAGAAGGUUUUUUCCCUUCCUUUCUUUCUUUUUUUAAAGGAACAAUAGAUUUAUUGUGCAGGCCUCCAGAUGACAAAAUAGCUGACUAAAAGUGCAGGUUCGAAGCUAGCUGAUGUUUCAGUACAGCUUAAAAGCUCUUUUUAAGCUUAGAUUAACACACUGAUAAUUGAAAACCACCUGGACAUGUUAUAUGUUCUAGAUAUUAAUCUGAGGCUUUCGUGAGGUACCUAUGCCUUCAGACCUUCACAUCAGCUAAGUUGCCUUAACCCUUUCUGGAAGAAGGUAGGGUAUAAAUAGAUCCAUUGGUGAAAUUAAAUUAAAUCAAAUUCCAUUCUGCAUUUGUUGAGACAGCUUUCAAUCUAGAGAGUAUCUGUUCCUCUUAUCUAGUCAGCCUCAUUAAAGAUACAGCGGCUCAAAGCAGCUUUACGAGAGUGAUGUACCCUGAAAUCACCCAAAUUAAAUGACUUCUCAGGACAGUGUUGAAGAACUUCCAGAUAAUUUUACGAAGUAAUGUGCCAAAGGCAUCAGCUUUGUUCUGGGCUGCUUUUUUCUUUGGAAAAAGAUGGAAUUUGUUUUUUUCUGAGAGAUUCUUAAUGAGAUGGUUGGUUGGCUUAUAUGUAUUUUCAUGUGAACAUACACAUCUCCAGAAUUUCAAACAGACAUCAAAUCAAGGGAAAGCUGUGCUGUUAAAACUAAUGUUGCUCAUCACAUGAACAACCAGAGCCAUUGGCCAUUGUGAAUGGCAAUGGGUUUUCUGGGACUAACACAAUUUUAGUGACAACUGAGGACAGAGUUGGGGUAAACUGGGUGUAUACAAUUGUUCUGAAUACUUAAUUGAACAUGGUGUUUUUCCACGAACUUUGUUUAAAAUGAGUCUCCAAGGCUCAUAAACACUGGGCUCAGAUCUCAUAGGCUUAUGAGACCUGAUGGAUUUUAUGAAAAGUUGUAACCAAACUCGAGUUGUCUUUUCUUACCCUGCUUCUUUUAAAAUCUUCCUGCUGCUGCUGCUUUUAGUUUGUUCCCUUGGUUUAAAAAUUAUUUAUAUGAACUAUCAUCUUAGAAUAUAAUUUGAAAUUUCAAAGAAGGACUUGGAUCUGAAAGCAGUUUUUCUUUUUUAAUUUCCCCCACAUUUGGUCUGGGUGGUGAUUAUAUUAAAUCAGGCUUUUAUGGAAACACUAUCGUUAAAAACUGCUCAUGGUCCUAAGGACAGGAUUUGGAAACAUGACACAGGCCUUUCUGAUUAAGGGUAUGAAAACUCCCACUUGUUUGCAAUGGCUUUUUUGUUUUUGAUUUAUAAUAACUCCCAGCUAAUGAUCCUGUUUUAGAGCUAUUUAAAGAAGCUCUGAACUAAAAUUGUAAGAGAACUAGAUGAAAACAUUAACACAACAAAUACAUUUGUGUCCCCCCUGCACCCUCCUCAUCCUGUCCCCUCCCUGGACAGCACCCAGUCCUUCAAAUCUUUCUCCUUAUUUUUCUACCCUUCUUUUUUAACUUGCUGCCUCCUUUUUUUCCUU